UACGGAGGGUGCGAGCGUUGUUCGGAAUCACUGGGCGUAAAGGGCGCGCAGGCGGCUACGCACGUCCGUUGUGAAAUCGCUCGGCUCAACUGGGCGGGGUCGGCGGAUACGGCGUAGCUGGAGCAAGCUAGGGGGCAAUGGAAUUCCCGGUGUAGUGGUGGAAUGCGUAGAUAUCGGGAGGAACACCAGUGGCGAAGGCGGUUGCCUGGAGCUUUGCUGACGCUGAGGCGCGAAAGCGUGGGGAGCGAUCCGG
rnacentral:rRNA from 1 species